rnacentral:rRNA from 1 species
GACGAACGCUGGCGGCGUGCCUAAUACAUGCAAGUCGAGCGCUUCUUUCCUCCCGAGUGCUUGCACUCAAUUGGAAAGAGGAGUGGCGGACGGGUGAGUAACACGUGGGUAACCUACCCAUCAGAGGGGGAUAACACUUGGAAACAGGUGCUAAUACCGCAUAACAGUUUAUGCCGCAUGGCAUAAGAGUGAAAGGCGCUUUCGGGUGUCGCUGAUGGAUGGACCCGCGGUGCAUUAGCUAGUUGGUGAGGUAACGGCUCACCAAGGCCACGAUGCAUAGCCGACCUGAGAGUGUGAUCGGCCACACUGGGACUGAGACACGGCCCAGACUCCUACGGGAGGCAGCAGUAGGGAAUCUUCGGCAAUGGACGAAAGUCUGACCGAGCAACGCCGCGUGAGUGAAGAAGGUUUUCGGAUCGUAAAACUCUGUUGUUAGAGAAGAACAAGGACGUUAGUAACUGAACGUCCCCUGACGGUAUCUAACCAGAAAGCCACGGCUAACUACGUG